UCAUGUUUUGUUUUCGCUGUAUUGUUUGUUUGUAUGCUGUAAAUGUCGGGCGAGUUUUUGUUUUAGUGUUUUAAGAGUUUCAGGGUUUGGUUUCCCUUCAAUGCUGUCAGCUCUAUUAGUUGUUCAUCAUCUACCGACACACAUCACAACUGUUGCUGUCUGGAUCUUUUGAGGGAUUCAGUACUAAAUCCAGAUGAUUUUUCAUCGCUUCAAAGGUGAGCAUCAUCUUGAAAAAUGAAAAUCCAUUGUCAAUCAUAUCCAGGAUAUCCAUGAGUAUGAUGAAGAAGUCUCAAUAUUCCUGCAUCCACCUCAUGUUGGCGACCAAGGCAGUGGCUUUGACUGCAACAUGUGAAAAACUCACUAAAGUCACCCAAAUUGCUGAAGACUUGGAAACUAAAGUGAUGAGUUAAAGACCUCAGGACUGGAUCCACAGUCUGAUCCUCAGGUUUAGACCAAACAGUGUGCAGGCCUGUGACUUGCCAUGGACAAAAGAAGAAGAAAUAAAGCCCACAAACCCAAACCCCCAAAAUAUUAUUAUUAAAGACAGACACAAAAUAUUUUACAUGCAAAAUAAAGAAUUUUUGGUUGCACUUUAUUU